AUGAACGCUGGCGGCGUGCUUAACACAUGCAAGUCGAACGAAGCACUUUAUUUGAUUUCCUUCGGGACUGAUUAUUUUGUGACUGAGUGGCGGACGGGUGAGUAACGCGUGGGUAACCUGCCUUGUACAGGGGGAUAACAGUUGGAAACGGCUGCUAAUACCGCAUAAGCGCACAGCAUCGCAUGAUGCAGUGUGAAAAACUCCGGUGGUAUAAGAUGGACCCGCGUUGGAUUAGCUAGCUGGUGAGGUAACGGCCCACCAAGGCGACGAUCCAUAGCCGACCUGAGAGGGUGACCGGCCACAUUGGGACUGAGACACGGCCCAAACUCCUACGGGAGGCAGCAGUGGGGAAUAUUGCACAAUGGGCGAAAGCCUGAUGCAGCGACGCCGCGUGAGCGAAGAAGUAUUUCGGUAUGUAAAGCUCUAUCAGCAGGGAAGAUAAUGACGGUACCUGACUAAGAAGCACCGGCUAAAUACGUG
rnacentral:rRNA from 1 species